rnacentral:rRNA from 1 species
AGGACUAACGCUGGCGGCGUGCCUAACACAUGCAAGUCGAACGCGCUCCAUUCGGUAGCAAUACUGAUGAAGAGCGAGUGGCGAACGGGUGAGUAGCACGUGAGCAACCUGCCCCGAAGACCGGGACAACACCGGGAAACCGGUGCUAAUACCGGAUAUCCCUAUCGGACCGCAUGAUCUGAUAAGGAAAUGGAUUCCGCUUCGGGAGGGGCUCGCGGCCUAUCAGCUAGUUGGUGAGGUAACGGCCCACCAAGGCAUCGACGGGUAGCUGGUCUGAGAGGACGAUCAGCCACACUGGGACUGAGACACGGCCCAGACUCCUACGGGAGGCAGCAGUGGGGAAUCUUGCGCAAUGGGCGAAAGCCUGACGCAGCAACGCCGCGUGGAGGACGAAGGCUUUCUGAGUUGUAAACUCCUUUCAGCAGGGACGAUAGUGACGGUACCUGCAGAGAAGCACCGGCCAACUACGUGCCAGCAGCCGCGGUAA